rnacentral:rRNA from 1 species
GUGCCAGCCGCUGCGGUAAUACGGAGGGUGCAAGCGUUAAUCGGAAUUACUGGGCGUAAAGCGCACGCAGGCGGUCUGUCAAGUCGGAUGUGAAAUCCCCGGGCUCAACCCGGGAACUGCAUUCGAAACUGGCAGGCUGGAGUCUCGUAGAGGGGGGUAGAAUUCCAGGUGUAGCGGUGAAAUGCGUAGAGAUCUGGAGGAAUACCGGUGGCGAAGGCGGCCCCCUGGACGAAGACUGACGCUCAGGUGCGAAAGCGUGGGGAGCAAACAGGAUUAGAUACCCUGGUAGUCCACGCCGUAAACGAUGUCUAUUUGGAGGUUGUGCCCUUGAGGCGUGGCUUCCGGAGCUAACGCGUUAAAUAGACCGCCUGGGGAGUACGGCCGCAAGGUUAAAACUCAAAUGAAUUGACGGGGCCCGCACAAGCGGUGGAGCAUGUGGUUUAAUUCGAUGCAACGCGAAGAACCUUACCUGGUCUUGACAUCCACAGAAGUUUUCGAGAGAUGAGAACUGUGCCUUCGGGAACUGUGAGACAGGUGCG